CAUCGGCCGCCGACCCACGAAGCUUCUCCAAGUCCUGUCGUGGAGACUACUGCCAGUUCCACCUUUCCCUUUCCACCGACCAACACCUGAUUUCCGCGAAAAACAGAGGAACAAAGGCAGAAAGCAGGAGGCAGUACUCAGUAAUCUAUACUAUUCCUCUCACUCCCUAUUAAUCACGGGAUCUGUUUUUUUUUUUUCCCGAAAACAGAGGCAAAGGCAGGACCGUGGAGAUGCGAUUGAAACCAAUUUUUGUUGGCUACUGCUGAGGAAAAAAGGAGAUGGGAUUGACUUUGGGGCUUGGGAAUACUAUGUGAUCUACAUGCAGAACCAGCCAGCCCUCCAAAAUCACCAUCUAAUUGUUAGUUUUUCCCAAACAGUAGUAGCGUGUGGACAUGGUCCUAAGAUAAAAGCCGAAUUUGGAUUUAUACAAUAGCACAGCAUUACCUUCCAAGAUAGGCACAAAAUAUCACCUGGGUAUUUACAGGAUUGAUAGUUGGAAACUGGACCUUGUUUAGUAGUCUGCCAAAACAAGGCGUUGAUUGUGCUGAUUGAGUCCCCAAGGGUAACAUGAUGAACGUGCAGUGGGUAUUCCUGGUGAUUGGAGUUUCUUUUGUCGCCAUUAGCACUUCCCUGCAAGCUGCCCAAAUUCCUGGUCCUCUCCCUGCAAUCUUUCAUUGGUUCUACCUAGCACUGGAGCUGGCCUUUUUGGCUGUUUUAGUAUCUAGUUACCUACAACGCCCUUACCCUAAUGCUUCUCGUCUCAUUCAGCACCUUGGAGUCCUCUUUGCCGCUGUUGCCUUUAUACUGGCCAUCUCGAUGCCUCUCCUCCAUCCCCCACUGAAGCCGUUAUCCAGCAAGCUCAUUCUCAUUGCUUUUCUCAUAAUAAUCCUUGCCAGUCGUUAUAUUAGUUUCAGGGCUUAACAUGGUCCCGAUCGUUUUCCCGCUUUAAUGACUCGCGAAUUGUCCGACCGAGUUAAGAUUAUGCUUUUCACUAUGCCCUUUAGCUUUCAAAAUUCUCAGUUUUUCUGGGAAGCGUUGUUGUAUAUGCAUUCUACAAUAAACAGAGCAAAGAGAGACGAUUGUGUUGUUGUUGUUGUUGUUGGAAAUAUGUUGAUCGUGUAAUUUGUUUGAUGAUUAGUACUAUAAUUCAUCUGCAAUGAAAUGAUGUUUUAUGAUCACUA